rnacentral:rRNA from 1 species
AGCAGUAGCCGCGGUAAUACGGAGGGGACUAGCGUUGUUCGGAAUUACUGGGCGUAAAGCGCACGUAGGCGGCUUGGUAAGUUAGAGGUGAAAGCCCGGAGCUUAACUCCGGAAUUGCCUUUAAGACUGCCGAGCUAGUAGGUGAGAGAGGUAAGUGGAAUUCCGAGUGUAGAGGUGAAAUUCGUAGAUAUUCGGAAGAACACCAGUGGCGAAGGCGGCUUACUGGCUCAUUCUAGACGCUGAGGUGCGAAAGCGUGGGGAGCAAACAGGAUUAGAUACCCCUGUAGUCCCUGUCUCUUAUAC